rnacentral:rRNA from 1 species
GACGAACGCUGGCGGUGUGCUUAACACAUGCAAGUCUACGAGAAUAAGGUAGCAAUAUCUUUAGUAAAGUGGCGCACGGGUGAGUAACACGUAAGUAACCUACCUUUAGAUUUGGAAUAACCCCGAGAAAUCGGGGCUAAUACCGAAUGAUGCAGCGGCACCACAUGGUGAUGUUGUUAAAGUCUAUAUGACGUCUAAAGAUGGGCUUGCGUCUGAUUAGCUUGUUGGUGAGGUAACGGCCCACCAAGGCUACGAUCAGUAGCUGGUCUGAGAGGAUGAUCAGCCACACUGGAACUGAGACACGGUCCAGACUCCUACGGGAGGCAGCAGUGAGGAAUAUUGGGCAAUGCCCGAAAGGGUGACCCAGCAACGCCGCGUGGAGGAUGAAUGCCGUAAGGUUGUAAACUCCUGUUAGAGGGGAAGAAUAAUUCCGAUCGACUCGGAAAUUGACUGUACCCUCAGAGAAAGCCCCGGCUAACUACGUGCCAGCCGCCGCGGUAACAC